rnacentral:rRNA from 1 species
GAUGAACGCUGGCGGCGUGCCUAAUACAUGCAAGUCGAGCGAACAGACGAGGAGCUUGCUCCUCUGACGUUAGCGGCGGACGGGUGAGUAACACGUGGAUAACCUACCUAUAAGACGGGGAUAACUUCGGGAAACCGGAGCUAAUACCGGAUAAUAUAUUGAACCGCAUGGUUCAAUAGUGAAUGACGGUUUUGCUGUCACUUAUAGAUGGAUCCGCGCCGCAUUAGCUAGUUGGUAAGGUAACGGCUUACCAAGGCAACGAUGCGUAGCCGACCUGAGAGGGUGAUCGGCCACACUGGAACUGAGACACGGUCCAGACUCCUACGGGAGGCAGCAGUAGGGAAUCUUCCGCAAUGGGCGAAAGCCUGACGGAGCAACGCCGCGUGAGUGAUGAAGGUCUUCGGAUCGUAAAACUCUGUUAUUAGGGAAGAACAAAUGUGUAAGUAACUAUGCACGUCUUGACGGUACCUAAUCAGAAAGCCACGGCUAACUACGUG